UACAAUUAUUUUACACAAAAUAAAUGUUUUAAAAUGCUUAUUGUACAGUAAUGUAUAGCAUCAUAACAUAGAGAGUAGGACGUUUCUUGUUCAAUAAAAGCUUCGUUUCAUGUGUAAAAUACCCUCCAAAUUACGUUAGGUGGCGUCAUUAGGUUUCAAAUCUAAGCUCCGCCCCUCAAUUACGUUCCUGGCGCUGGUGUUGGUUAGAAUCUAACGCCGCCCCUCACUUCCGGUUCUGGCGCUGGGGUUCUGAAACUGGGGUUCUGAAACUGGUGGUGCUGCGGGUCUGCAGCUGGAUACUAUAGCUGUUUGAUUUUAAACUAUUGGAAGACGACAUGAGGCUCAUCGAAUCCUUUAACAGGAACAAAAGGCUUGUUGUUCCAACUAUAAUGAAAGAUGGACAAAAUGUUUGGAGAGAUGCAGGACAUCCACAUUUUCCCUUCAGUGAUCCAUAUUGACAAAACUGGAAUUUUUUUAAACCUACAAGAUCUAAAGGUGACAUGUUUAAUAAAACGAAUUUAAAUAAAGAGCUUCAUUUAAAUAAUUGUUUCUUUUGAAUUGAUGUAGAGCCCACCAAAGGUGUAAUACACAUGGCUUUUUUAAUGAAACCAAGUAUUUAGCAUAUACAACCAUUGCAAGGACAGCAGACAUUGUCUGUACAUGUGCACAGAUCCCAAACUUCUAAAAAUUAAUCACCACAAAAUCAGGUCCAUUUCGUGAAUUUUAUUUAACAUUUUUCAAACUUGUAAUACAUUAUAUGCUACAUUCAUAAAAAAAAUGAAGUCAUUAGCAAUUUUUUUUAAAUUUUAUUUUAUUUUUUAUCAUCCUUCCAACAGCCUAGCAUUAAACCCCACCACUAAAGCUGUUCGUAUAGCUUGUGAAGUUAAUGAAAUCCCUAUUGUGUAUGGUUUUUUACUGAAAUUCACCCCCACCCACAGAAUGUUAAGAUCAAAGUUCUCAGAAAUCAUCCUUUCACAAACCAGAGCAAAACACAAGCAGCUACAUGCUUUUCUCUAUUAACAGACGGGGGUGGACAGAAGGGGAAC